rnacentral:sRNA from 1 species
GUAUGCUAAAUAAUAUAUAGAUAUAAGAGUUGUACAUUUAGAAAAUACAAAAAAUAAAUUAUAUAUAUUUUUAAUCUACUAAACAUAUUAAUUUUUUAUUUUUUGAAAAAAAUAUAUCUCCGUGGUAUAUUGCGGGUUAAAAUCUAGUACAGUCUUAAUUUUCUAGGAAAUUUAUGGUGAAAAUGUCACAAUGAUGAUGCAAGUGAAUAGAAACU